GGAAGGCUGAUUCUCUCAGCAGAGAAAGGACUGUAAGCAGAUGCAGGGGGUAGGGGGGUGGUCCCCAGGAAAGAGAACCGGCGUGGCUCCCUGGACAUAACAGAAGCCACUUUCCUAAGCCGUGCUGAUCUGAGCUGGGUCUGGCCACCGACCCUGCCUUUGAACGGGUCUCUGUCAUACUGAUCUCGAGGAACAAAAGAACACCCGCCAUCAGGCUGAGGAGUAACAGCAGCAUCAGAGGGGUUUGCACGCUCCUCCGCUGGCCCCACAACGACAGCUGACAUCCAUCGGUGGCCUGGACCAGCCUGGGGAUGGUGCAGACAGAAAGCAAAUGAGAUCAGAGAGCAGGGAAUUCUCCAGGGAGCGUGAGGCUGUCACAGCCACCCCAGCGGCACAUGGAAGUUCCUGGACCAGAGAUCGAAUCCGAGCUGGAGCUGUGACCUCUGCCACCCCUGUGGCAACACCAGAUCACUAAUCCAUUGCUCCAGCCGGGGGAUCGAACCAGCGCCUCUGCAGAGAGAGUUCCUGCUGUGGCACAUGGGUUAAGGAUCCAACUACGGUGACUCAUUGGGUUAAGAACUCGACGUGGUCUCCUUGAGGAUACAGGGUCGACCCCUGGCCUCGCUCAGUGGGUUAAGGAUCCGGCGUUGCCUUGAUCGGCUCUUAACGUGAGCUUCCCAGUUCCUGGGCUGCAGGUCGAAUCUGAAGCUGCAUCAGCUACACAGCUUGUGACAACACCGGAUCUUUAACCCACUGAGAGAGGUCAGGGAUGGAACCCACAUCCUCACAGACACUAUGUCAGGUUCUUAACCUUCUGAACCCCAAGGGAAACUCCAGCCUCCACAACCCUCAAGGCGUUCUCUCUACCACCUGGGCUGCCCUCGCCCUCGGUCUGGGUUUCCUAUGGGCUUCCCCUUCGAAGUUUCUAGCACCCUGCAUUGUCACUGCUUGUUGAUGUGCCAUUUUCCUGUGAUAACUUCAAGUUUCACAACAGCAGGGACAGAGUCUGUCUUGUCCACCAAUACGUCCUAGCAAUUAGCACAGUGUGGGGUGCAGAGGGCCCCCAAAACAUUUUAGUGAGGAAACUCCUCUAUGACGCAUCAGUGUAUUCGAUUCCAUUUUGGCCACGUGUCUUCUCUAUAAGACACCUCGUGAAAGCAGGGUUCCCAUGUGGCUUGUUUACUGUGGGCCCCUGGGAGCAUCUGGACAGCACCCACUUGUGGAACUGGAUUGAAUAAAGAGGUUCAGACUCA